AUUGAACGCUGGCGGCAGGCCUAACACAUGCAAGUCGAACGAGUGGCGGACGGGUGAGUAAUGUCUGGGAAACUGCCUGAUGGAGGGGGAUAACUACUGGAAACGGUAGCUAAUACCGCAUACCAUCGGAUGUGCCCAGAUGGGAUUAGCUAGUAGGUGGGGUAACGGCUCACCUAGGCGACGAUCCCUAGCUGGUCUGAGAGGAUGACCAGCCACAAUGGGACUGAGACACGGUCCAGACGCAGACGGGCGGCAGAAGUGUGGAAUAUUGGACAAUGGGCGCCAGCCUGAUGCAGCCUUGCCGCGUGUGUGAAGAAGGCCUUCGGGUUGUACAGCGCUUUCAGCGGGGAGGCGUUACCCGCAGAAGAAGCACCGUCUAACUCCGUGCCAGCAGCCGCGGUAAUU
rnacentral:rRNA from 1 species